rnacentral:lncRNA from 1 species
GGGAUCCGAGGAGGGAAAUGUCAUACUCUUAGAUCGAAGACUUUGGAAAUUAAAAUCUUUGUCAACUCUUGCUGGCAUAUUGCUUAUUAGAGGGACCAUGGGCUAUCAUUUUUUUUCUCUCUCUCUUUUUUUUAAGUGGAUACCGAGGUACCCCUAAUUCUACUGCCGGACACUUGUCCAUUUUUUCUGCGAGGUUGUCGAGCACUUGCUCCUUUUUAUUUCCUCGAAAUAUUUCUAUUUUUGCAUAGCCCAUGCCUCUAAUGCAAUAAUACUUCGGAAGAGUGAAUCUUACUGAAAUAAAUGUCUUGAUCUUGGGAGCAUGAUAAAUCUCUCAACAAGGGUCUAACUCAUUUUGAACAAACUCAAUACAGAGCAGAUAGCUUUUAUAAUCAUAAUUUAUAUUUUUAGUUUUAUCCGGCAUAUAAAACACUGAGGAUCGUAGCUAGAAUUUUGAAUAUUUUGAAAUAAAUUCUCCAAGCAACAAUGAUAUCAAGAAUAAGAAACUCAUACUCUACCAUCACAUAUUCCAUAUUGACUUAAGUAACACAGGGUUUU